UGCAAGUCAAGCGCGAACGGGGACUUCGGUUCCCUAGUAGAGCGGCGAACGGGUGAGUAACACGUGGGUAAUCUGCCUCCGGGUGGGGAAUAACUCAGGGAAACUUGAGCUAAUUCCGCAUAACGUGGCCGAUCACAAGAUCGGCUACCAAAGCUGGGGACCCUUCGGGGCCUGGCGUCUGGAGAGGAGCCCGCGGCCAAUUAGCUUGUUGGUGAGGUAAUGGCUCACCAAGGCUCCGAUUGGUAGCCGGCCUGAGAGGGCGGACGGUCACACUGGAACUGAGACACGGUCCAGACUCCUACGGGAGGCAGCAGUGAGGAAUUUUCGUCAAUGGGGGAAACCCUGAACGAGCAACGCCGCGUGGAGGACGAAGACCUUCGGGUUGUAAACUCCUGUCGGACGGGACGAAAGUUAUCGAGGUUAAUACCCUUGGUAGUUGACGGUACCGUACGAGGAAGCCCCGGCUAACUUCGUGCCAGCAGCCGCGGUAAUACGAGGGGGGCAAGCGUUGCUCGGAAUUACUGGGCGUAAAGGGCGCGUAGGCGGUCUGACAAGUCUUCCGUGAAAGCCCACGGCUCAACCGUGGAACUGCGGGGGAAACUGCCAGACUUGAGUCCGGGAGGGGAGAGUGGAAUUCCCAGUGUAGCGGUGAAAUGCGCAUAUAUUGGGAGGAACACCGGAGGCGAAGGCGUCUCUCUGGACCGGUACUGACGCUGAGGCGCGAAAGCCAGGGAGAGCGAACGGGAUUAGAUACCCCCGGUAGUCCUGGCCGUAAACGAUGAGCACUGGAUGUGGCGGGUAUUGACCCCUGCCGUGUCGGCGCUAACGCAUUAAGUGCUCCGCCUGGGGAGUACGGUCGCAAGGCUGA
rnacentral:rRNA from 1 species